rnacentral:rRNA from 1 species
AGAGUUUGAUCCUGGCUCAGGAUGAACGCUAGCUACAGGCUUAACACAUGCAAGUCGAGGGGCAGCAUGGUCUUAGCUUGCUAAGGCCGAUGGCGACCGGCGCACGGGUGAGUAACACGUAUCCAACCUGCCGUCUACUCUUGGACAGCCUUCUGAAAGGAAGAUUAAUACAAGAUGGCAUCAUGAGUCCGCAUGUUCACAUGAUUAAAGGUAUUCCGGUAGACGAUGGGGAUGCGUUCCAUUAGAUAGUAGGCGGGGUAACGGCCCACCUAGUCUUCGAUGGAUAGGGGUUCUGAGAGGAAGGUCCCCCACAUUGGAACUGAGACACGGUCCAAACUCCUACGGGAGGCAGCAGUGAGGAAUAUUGGUCAAUGGGCGAGAGCCUGAACCAGCCAAGUAGCGUGAAGGAUGACUGCCCUAUGGGUUGUAAACUUCUUUUAUAAAGGAAUAAAGUCGGGUAUGGAUACCCGUUUGCAUGUACUUUAUGAAUAAGGAUCGGCUAACUCCGUGCCAGCAGCCGCGGUAAUACGGAGGAUCCGAGCGUUAUCCGGAUUUAUUGGGUUUAAAGGGAGCGUAGAUGGAUGUUUAAGUCAGUUGUGAAAGUUUGCGGCUCAACCGUAAAAUUGCAGUUGAUACUGGAUAUCUUGAGUGCAGUUGAGGCAGGCGGAAUUCGUGGUGUAGCGGUGAAAUGCUUAGAUAUCACGAAGAACUCCGAUUGCGAAGGCAGCCUGCUAAGCUGCAACUGACAUUGAGGCUCGAAAGUGUGGGUAUCAAACAGGAUUAGAUACCCUGGUAGUCCACACGGUAAACGAUGAAUACUCGCUGUUUGCGAUAUACUGCAAGCGGCCAAGCGAAAGCGUUAAGUAUUCCACCUGGGGAGUACGCCGGCAACGGUGAAACUCAAAGGAAUUGACGGGGGCCCGCACAAGCGGAGGAACAUGUGGUUUAAUUCGAUGAUACGCGAGGAACCUUACCCGGGCUUAAAUUGCAGAUGAAUUACGGUGAAAGCCGUAAGCCGCAAGGCAUCUGUGAAGGUGCUGCAUGGUUGUCGUCAGCUCGUGCCGUGAGGUGUCGGCUUAAGUGCCAUAACGAGCGCAACCCUUGUUGUCAGUUACUAACAGGUCAUGCUGAGGACUCUGACAAGACUGCCAUCGUAAGAUGUGAGGAAGGUGGGGAUGACGUCAAAUCAGCACGGCCCUUACGUCCGGGGCUACACACGUGUUACAAUGGGGGGUACAGAGGGCCGCUACCACGCGAGUGGAUGCCAAUCCCCAAAACCUCUCUCAGUUCGGACUGGAGUCUGCAACCCGACUCCACGAAGCUGGAUUCGCUAGUAAUCGCGCAUCAGCCACGGCGCGGUGAAUACGUUCCCGGGCCUUGUACACACCGCCCGUCAAGCCAUGGGAGCCGGGGGUACCUGAAGUGCGUAACCGCGAGGAGCGCCCUAGGGUAAAACUGGUGACUGGGGCUAAGUCGUAACAAGGUAGCCGUACCGGAAGGUGCGGCUG